CUGCAGCAGAGCAGUGCCAGGCACACUGCUGCCUUUAUCCGUUCAGCUCUGGUGCUGAGCAGGUCCUGUGGUGCAGCCCCGUGGCUCUGGGCAUUGGAAACACUGCCAGCUGGUGCUUGGAGGUCUGCGGCAGCCCUGAGGACAGGAUGCGAAAUGCUCCAGCUCACAGCUUCUGCAUGACUGCCAUCCCUGCCAGCCACCAUGCUGCAGCCCUCAGGUUCCCAUCUGCUGAGAGACACUAAUGAAGUCAUCUUAAUCAGGAUGCAGGUUUGCAGCACCCGGCUGCAGCAUUGGAAACAGGUUUGGAGAUCCCUGCUCUGCUUCCAGGCAGGCCUGGUGCUUUGUGCUGGAGGAACACGGAGUGCUGCUGUGCUGAGCAAGUACUACAACCUAUUCUGUAAGGUACCAGAUGUGAUAGAGGCUUCCCAGCCCUGUGCUGGUGCCCAGCAGUGCCAGCUGUGGUUCUGGAGUUUGUCCAUAAGGAGCAGGGGCAUUUAGCACAGAGCUGCACCUUCUAGAAGAACUUUUUCCUGUGUUUUCCUGCUUCAGAUCCAGCCUGCAUUCUGUACAUAAAUUGGGUCUGCAAGGCCUCAGCAUAAUUUACUUCCUCUUUAUAGAGGCAGCAAGUACAGCAGCGAGUGUGGCGAGCCCUCAGCAACCAUGCUGAGCCCUCAGGCAGCAAUGCAUGGGAUGUCUGCUGGAGGAACACGAGAGAAAGGUACCUUCAGAUUGGUCUGAGGGGCUGCAAUCCUGUGCUGGUGGGAAUGAGACACCUGGACUGUGAUUUCAACAUUAACCUUAACGUUGAAUUAAGGCUAAAUUAAUUAAACUAGGCCCACUAGGUUAGUAGUAUUAAUUAAUUAUUAACAUAGGCCUACUUUUGUGAAGCACGCUCCUCAUGAAUGCUGCUGCUUUGUGAGCUGUGCUGGCGUGGUGCACAGAGGGUU
ensembl:lncRNA